AGGCCCUCCACACAUUGUGGUUGGGAGGAGUCCUAACAGCAGGAGUAGGAGCUCUGAUUAUCCCCUGCUUCUGCUGCCUGCCUUUAGGACCCUUUCCCCACAACCGGCUGCCUUGCCCAGC
rnacentral:precursor_RNA from 7 species